ensembl:lncRNA
AUGGCCGACGAAGAGCGGGCUGAACACGGCGGCAGCAGCCGGGGAGGAAAGCUCAGCCUCAAGCGCAAGAGGCGGCAGCCGCACCAGCAGCAGGAGGAGGAAGAAGAGGCGGAACGACGCCCCUCGGCCAUUCCUCGCCGAGCACCUACAUUUUCCAGCAGCUCUUGCUGGUUUGAAGAGCAAGGCUUAAGCGGUGCUGAAAUCGCGUGGAUGACAUUACUCAAGUCUGUGGAGCCACACCUGCAUCGCUUGAGUUUAGAAAAAGUAGUCAACCUUCCCAAGUUUCUUACAAAGAGCUCACAAACUACAAAUCCUCAGCCAGCCCCAGAAACAUUUGACAUUGGAAUGAAACAGUUUCAGUGGACUCCAUUUCCACGUCACCACACAAAUAAUUCAAGAAGUAAAAAGCCUCCUGAAAAUCAAGCUCUUAGUUUGAUAGAAAGAGGAAAUGAUGCAGAUGGGAGACUCAGUAUUAUUUCUCCUGUUCCCAAGCAAAACCCCAUUCCAGCUGGUAAAUAUACUGCUGAGGAAACAACAACUGGACACAACAAUCAUCUUUCCUCUAAGCUGGAAGGUAGAGAAAUGAUUGAAAUGUGCCUGCACUCAACCCAGCAGAAUUCACCAGGACAUUCAUCAAUAGCUGCACAGAGCCAGCCAAGAGUAUUUGUGUUUGAAAAGCUUUGGAAAGGGGGUACAACACAGAGUGAAGGAAAAAGCAGAAAGGAAAAUAAAAUACUAUCAAAUGAUGAUAAGCAAAGUGCUUUGUUGUGCCAGCCUAACAAUGCCACAUCAGUGUUACCUGUGCAGGAAUCUCCUGCUCUUUGUUUGAGUGUCGGCAACCAAGAAAAAACAGAGGACCACAGGGAGGAAAUAUUAGCUCUCAGCCAGUGUCCCAUGUGUCAGAUCCACUUUACUGGAAAGUAAGUAUUGGUUAUGUUACUCAAAUUCAUUUUUCAGUUCUUCAUGACAUCCACAACACACACACAUUGAAGUGACCACAUCCAGUGUUUCUCAAAUUUGGGGUCUCCAGGUGUUGUUGGAUUGCAACUCCCAUUGUCCUUAGGUAGCUAGCAAGACUAGUGGUGAGGGAUGAUGGGAACUGCAGUUCAACAACAGCUGGAGACCCCAAGUUUGAGAAACACUG